AGAGUUUGAUCCUGGCUCAGGAUGAACGCUGGCGGCGUGCUUAACACAUGCAAGUCGAACGAAGCACUUUAUUUGAUUUCUUCGGAAUGAAGAUUUUGUGACUGAGUGGCGGACGGGUGAGUAACGCGUGGGUAACCUGCCUCAUACAGGGGGAUAACAGUUAGAAAUGACUGCUAAUACCGCAUAAGACCACGGUACCGCAUGGUACAGUGGUAAAAACUCCGGUGGUAUGAGAUGGACCCGCGUCUGAUUAGGUAGUUGGUGGGGUAACGGCCUACCAAGCCGACGAUCAGUAGCCGACCUGAGAGGGUGACCGGCCACAUUGGGACUGAGACACGGCCCAAACUCCUACGGGAGGCAGCAGUGGGGAAUAUUGCACAAUGGGGGAAACCCUGAUGCAGCGACGCCGCGUGAGCGAAGAAGUAUUUCGGUAUGUAAAGCUCUAUCAGCAGGGAAGAAAAUGACGGUACCUGACUAAGAAGCACCGGCUAAAUACGUGCCAGCAGCCGCGGUAAUACGUAUGGUGCAAGCGUUAUCCGGAUUUACUGGGUGUAAAGGGAGCGUAGACGGCUGUGUAAGUCUGAAGUGAAAGCCCGGGGCUCAACCCCGGGACUGCUUUGGAAACUAUGCAGCUAGAGUGUCGGAGAGGUAAGUGGAAUUCCCAGUGUAGCGGUGAAAUGCGUAGAUAUUGGGAGGAACACCAGUGGCGAAGGCGGCUUACUGGACGAUGACUGACGUUGAGGCUCGAAAGCGUGGGGAGCAAACAGGAUUAGAUACCCUGGUAGUCCACGCCGUAAACG
rnacentral:rRNA from 1 species